AUGUCAAACUAUUUCAAAAGCUAAUAAAAAAGUAAAUAAAAAGUAUUUUAAUCAGGCACACAGAGGGCACCUCACAUGUAGGGUCCUACUGAAAGGGCCUUAGAGCGAGGACACCGAAGCGGGAAGAUCAAAGAGCGAUGUUGCCACUGGUAAUAGAAAGGACACAAUCAGCUCUAUAAAAGACUUGUCAAGGGCUCAGAAAAGCUGGAUCCCAACCAGCCCAGGCCUCCAGGUAGUGGACCUGCUCAUGGACCAGUAGACAUGUCCCAGUCACGAGCAGAUGGACCAAAACAGCCAUAUCUAAAGGUUUACCCUUGGAACGUGUACAACGACAGGAGACGGGGCUUCAACUACAAGUGGUUCUCCAUUCAUAAGUGGUUGGAGUAUAAUAAUUUCCAUGUUUACUGCUUAUUGGUCACACAGAUCCCUGAGUGAGUGAGUGAGUGAGUGAGUGAGUGAGUGAGUGAGUGAGUGAGUGAGUGUUUGCCCUCUCUUUGCCAUUUUGCCCUGUAAUUUUGUCUUUGGUCACAAAUAUCGAUAAAAUAAACACAUGAGAAUGUAAAUAAAUGCAAAUUGAUAAUAAAUGUGCAAUCUAAUGGAGAGAAGAGUCAGUGUGCUGAUGUUCAUUAAGGUUGUUUGAGUAGGUCAACACUGUAGUUGCCAUAUACAUUGAGAGGAACAAGUCUGUUCAGAUA